UACGUAGGGUCCGAGCGUUGUCCGGAAUUAUUGGGCGUAAAGGGCUCGUAGGCGGUCUGUCGCGUCGGGAGUGAAAACUUACAGCUUAACUGUGAGCGUGCUUCCGAUACGGGCAGACUUGAGGUAUUCAGGGGAGAACGGAAUUCCUGGUGUAGCGGUGAAAUGCGCAGAUAUCGGGAGGAACACCAGUAGCGAAGGCGGCUCGCUGGGCCACACCUGACGCUGAGACGCGAAAGCUAGGGGAGCGAACAGG
rnacentral:rRNA from 1 species